AGCAGCCGCGGUAAUUCCAGCUCCAAUAGCGUAUAUUAAAGUUGUUGCAGUUAAAAGCUCGUAGUUGAAUUUCGAGAUCAAAUUGUUGGUCGUGCCUCAGUACGCACUGGCAUUAUUGAUUUCUCCCUUCUGACGAUCCGCGAUGUCAUUAAUUUGGUGUCGCGGGGAAUCAGGACUGUUACUUUGAAAAAUUAGAGUGUUUAAAGCAGGCUCACGCUUGAAUACAUUAGCAUGGAAUAAUGAAAUAGGACGUUUGAUUCUAUUUUGUUGGUUUCUAGGAUCGACGUAAUGAUUAAUAGGGAUAGUUGGGGGCAUUAGUAUUCAAUUGUCAGAGGUNA
rnacentral:misc_RNA from 1 species